rnacentral:tRNA from 1 species
GUACCUCAUCAGCUGGCAUAACACUGAAAAUGCUAAGAUGGGUCCUAAAAACCCCCGCACGCA